UCCGGAGUUUCUCCGGCAGUCUCACAUGAGUGCCCGGCAUAACCCGAUGGCAACAUGCGAUGGGGGUUGCGCUCGUUGCGGCACUUAAGCCAACACCUCACGACACGAGCUGACGACAGCCAUGCAGCACCUGUGCACGUGUCCCGAAGGAGGGCCCCUGUUUCCAGGGGCUUUCACGUGCAUGUCAAACCUAGGUAAGGUUCUUCGCGUUGCAUCGAAUUAAUCCGCAUGCUCCGCCGCUUGUGCGGGCCCCCGUCAAUUCCUUUGAGUUUUAGCCUUGCGGCCGUACUCCCCAGGCGGGGCGCUUAAUGCGUUAGCUACGGCACAGAAUCAACCAACGUGACCCCACACCUAGCGCCCAACGUUUACGGUGUGGACUAC
rnacentral:misc_RNA from 1 species